UAAUAAUAAUAAAGAAGUUUUAAAAAAUAUAUACCCCAACUCCAUCCAUCCAUCCAUCUUCAAUACCGCUUAUCCUUUUCAGGGUCACGGGGAACCUGGAGCCUGUCCCAGGGAGCAUCGGGCACGAGGCGAGGUACACCCUGGACAGGGUGCCAAUCAUACCCCUACUCAGUAACAAUAAUUUGCCUGACUAUAAAAUCCUGAAAGCUGCUCAGAGGAUACCAAAGAAAUUGGAGGUAGCUGAUGACACAGAGGUCAGAGGAAGGACAGAGACAAUACCGAGGCCGCAU
ensembl:lncRNA